AGAGUUUGAUCAUGGCUCAGGACGAACGCUGGCGGCGUGCCUAAUACAUGCAAGUCGAGCGAGCUUGCCUAGAUGAUUUUAGUGCUUGCACUAAAUGAAACUAGAUACAAGCGAGCGGCGGACGGGUGAGUAACACGUGGGUAACCUGCCCAAGAGACUGGGAUAACACCUGGAAACAGAUGCUAAUACCGGAUAACAACACUAGACGCAUGUCUAGAGUUUGAAAGAUGGUUCUGCUAUCACUCUUGGAUGGACCUGCGGUGCAUUAGCUAGUUGGUAAGGUAACGGCUUACCAAGGCAAUGAUGCAUAGCCGAGUUGAGAGACUGAUCGGCCACAUUGGGACUGAGAUACGGCCCAAACUCCUACGGGAGGCAGCAGUAGGGAAUCUUCCACAAUGGACGAAAGUCUGAUGGAGCAACGCCGCGUGAGUGAAGAAGGGUUUCGGCUCGUAAAGCUCUGUUGGUAGUGAAGAAAGAUAGAGGUAGUAACUGGCCUUUAUUUGACGGUAAUUACUUAGAAAGUCACGGCUAACUACGUGCCAGCAGCCGCGGUAAUACGUAGGUGGCAAGCGUUGUCCGGAUUUAUUGGGCGUAAAGCGAGUGCAGGCGGUUCAAUAAGUCUGAUGUGAAAGCCUUCGGCUCAACCGGAGAAUUGCAUCAGAAACUGUUGAACCUGAGUGCAGAGGAGGAGAGUGGAACUCCAUGUGUAGCGGUGGAAUGCGUAGAUAUAUGGAAGAACACCAGUGGCGAAGGCGGCUCUCUGGUCUGCAACUGACGCUGAGGCUCGAAAGCAUGGGUAGCGAACGGGAUUAGAUACCCUGGUAGUCCAUGCCGUAAACGAUGAGUGCUAAGUGUUGGGAGGUUUCCGCCUCUCAGUGCUGCAGCU
rnacentral:rRNA from 1 species